UGCAAGAAGAAAGAAGAAUCAGCUCAAGUAGAUGUUUUUAUCCAACAAGCAGCUGAAUUGCUCAUCCAUAUAUCCUCAGAGCAUUCUGCUUAUAAUCAGGAUUCUUGUACAAGAGUGAGAUCCAAGGUUAUGGAAGAUGGCAAGAGGGAGCGACCACAGUGUUCUUUCGAUUCUUUUGAGUUGAUUACUUUAAAUCUAACAGAAAGCAAUGUGGAUGACAAUUCUGUGUCAUCAAAACCAUUUGAAGUAAAUGACAUGGAG
rnacentral:misc_RNA from 1 species